UACGAAGGGGGCUAGCGUUGCUCGGAAUUACUGGGCGUAAAGCGCACGUAGGCGGCUUUCUAAGUCGGGGGUGAAUCCUGGAGCUCAACUCCAGAACUGCCUUUGAUACUGGCGAUCUCGAGUCCGGGAGAGGUGAGUGGAACUGCGAGUGUAGAGGUGAAAUUCGUAGAUAUUCGCAAGAACACCAGUGGCGAAGGCGGCUCACUGGCCCGGUACUGACGCUGAGGUGCGAAAGCGUGGGGAGCAAACAGG
rnacentral:rRNA from 1 species